AAAAUGUCGUGCAGCUGUUGUGGAUACAAAGCAAAGACACGUGCAUCUUGUGCGACGCACCAAUGGAUUUGCUGGAUUUUGUACGCUCGCUGUCUUUACUUUGUUUGUUUUUCUUUAACAUACUUGUAUCCUUGAAGCGGAACUAUCUAGCCAUAAUUUAGCUGCCUCUUUCGUUAAAAACGCGUUAGGGCGAUUUUUAGAAGCUCUCUUUUUCUUACUACCUUUAUGAAAAAAAUUUAAGAAUGAUGACGGUGGACGUCUA